CGACCUCAGGUCAGGCGGGGCUACCCGC
rnacentral:rRNA from 2 species